GCGCUCUGCAACGACAAAUCAAAUCGUGGAUUAGAGUUAGUCAGAUUUUUCUUCACCAUUACAAUGGACAACGAUCAAGGCCGUGUUUGCUUAUUUUACCUCUGGGCGAUUCGAAGAAUUCAGCUGACGGCAUUAUCUUGGAACGAUCUUCAUCCGUUUUCGCCUGUGGAAUAAAAUUCGUCGAGUGAACUUUAAAAUAUACAGAACUUUCAACUCCGAAGCUAAUAGCUUCAAACAACACCUUAAUCGCCUCUUUCAGCUAAUAUUCAUCAGCUAAUUAUUCAGGAUUAUUGAAAAAUCGGUAAAAUGAAAUACUCACAUCGUCUGCCAAAUCCAACUCAAACAGACGAAUUGAUAUCACGUCAUGAUUAUCGGACAAAUCACCCGUAGUCGCUGAAACUCCGAAGUAAUAUUCGGUCGGCAGUUUAAUACCUUUUACCUGGAAGCACUCUUGCCACGCUUCUUUAUUGGCGAUAUCCGUUGAGACUGUAAGGAGAAAAAAUGAAUAUUUAUGUGGCAGGAUACUAUGAUAAGUUGUGUAAAUAAAAUAUUUUUGGCCUUUA